AGCUUAGACAGUAAAGCGUCUGCCUGCAAUGUGGAAGACCCAGGUUUGAUCCCUGG
rnacentral:tRNA from 1 species